rnacentral:misc_RNA from 1 species
UUCUCUUCCUUAUUGUGCACUCCAUUGAUAAGCUGGGAAUAUGGCCAAAGCUACCUGUGUUCUUAGGCCUGUUUUAUCUGGGUAUCCGCCGCCACCUUCACCAGGAGUACAACUUAUUGAACGUUGGGAAAACUCCCACCGGCGUUCGCUUUAAUCCCGUCGAUUAUCCUUACAGGACAGCCGACGGAACAUUCAAUGAUCC